GUGGUAUAAAGAAACAGUUCCGGGGGACAUUUUCUGCGGUGGCUCUGUCCCGUGUAGGAGCAUGCUUUCUCAGGCAGGAACCGCAAUUUUACCAACAACAUGCACAGAUUAUGUAAUCUAUCGAGCACAUUUUUAUAUCUGUGUUUUAAAACACGACUUAAACCUGAAGAAGAACUGAAAUAGUAUUUUUAAUGUAAUUAGACGCAUUUUGGCGCAGUGUGAGCAGGCCGCAGGAGCCCUCAGGACAUGUGGAGGUAAGAGUGUUAUCUUUGUGUUGCAUCAGAAAACACAUUUAAUCUGCGUGUUUUAUUUAUGACUUUAACUAAUUUAUGAUUUUCUAUCAACAGGGUGAAAACAGAGGGUAAGAUGUUAUUAUAGGGCCGUGAAUGCCUCCUGCACGUGGAGGCUUCACGUGGACUCUGCACAGUGAAGGCCUCCUAUAAUUUCAACGUGAGUAUACAAGCCAAAUUUAUAUUCUUCUUUUAAUGCUCUUAAAUGAUGAAAAUCAGCCUGUUUUAAUUCUUUUCAGCUGAAAAUUUGUCACUAAGGUUUUCUGUAUUUGCAGAAAAUAAGUCUGACCAUGGAUUUUUGGAGAAGCAGCAUUGUAAGUACUUUUUAAAGGACUUAAAAGUUUAUUUUAAAGAGUUAUGACUGAUGAUUAUGAUGCGUUAGACUUCUGAUUUCAUAUUGAAGACAAAACUAAUCUGACAUAACUCAUAUUUUUCUGUUUUUAAGUUGGGAUCUUUUUGUGCAAAAACCUGAACAAAGUUUUUCUUUUGCAGAAAUGAGGCAGCUGUGCUGAAGAAAUGGACGGUUUAUCAGAAGGUAUCCAAGCCACAAUGAUGCACAUUUGAUUUAACAUUUUUCAUCUAUAAAUAAAGAGUUUUUCAUCAAACACACCUUUUCAGUUCUCAUUCUUUUACUGUAAUAGUACCCGCAUACUAUUUUG